GUCAAAAGGAACAAUCAGUAGAAAAUUCAAUGAAGUGUUGCAGAGUAUCUAUCUCCUUUCAAAAGAUCUUGUCAAACCUAGAGACCCAAACUUCACAACUAUUCACCCAAGACUACUUGGUGAUCGGUUUGAGCCCCAUUUCAACAAUUGCAUAGGUGCAAUAGAUGGGACACAUAUACCAGUAGUUGUGCCCGCAUCAAAGGUGGUUCAACAUGUGGGUAGAAAUAAAUAUCCGACGCAAAAUGUCUUGGCCAUUUGUGACUUUGACAUGAGGUUUACAUUCAUUGUUGCGGGGUGGCCUGGAUCGGCACAUGAUAUGAGGGUGUUCAAUGAUGCUUUGCGCAAAUAUGCCGCUAUCUUCCCUCAUCCACCACCUGGCUAUCCAAAUCAACUAGGAUAUCUAUCUCCAUAUAAAGGGACCAAAUACCAUUUACCGGAAUUUCGAGAGGGUCCACGUCCUAGUGGCAAGAAGGAGGUGUUCAACCACUUGCAUUCAUCGCUUCGUAAUGUGAUUGAGCGCUCUUUUGGUGUUUUAAAAAUGAAAUGGAGAAUUCUAUUGGACUUACCAAGUUAUCCGAUGCUCAAGCAAACAAAAAUAAUACAUGCUUGCAUGGCGCUGCAUAAUUUUAUUCGAGAUAGCAAAUUGAGUGAUGAAGAGUUUGAUCUGUGUGAUAAUGAUGAAAACUACAUGCCGAUGCCUUCAUCUCAAGGGAAUGCCAGUCACAUGGGAGACGAAGAUGGGGACGCAAAUGCCUUCCGUGAUAGUAUUGCUGAUGCUUUAUUUGCUAAGAGAUAAUAAUUUGGUUUUAAGUCUAUUAUAUAUGUGGAAGAAAUAUUCAUGAAUGUAUAAUUAUAAAUAUUUGUCAAUUUUUUAUU